rfam:Bacillus endophyticus strain Hbe603, complete genome.
GACCGCGGUAUGCCGUGAAAGUGGCACGUACCGUGCGGAUCGGGGGAAAAGUUAGAGAUAACUUCAAAAACUUACCUAUCGAUAAU